rnacentral:rRNA from 1 species
UGGGGGAUAUUGCACAAUGGGCGAAAGCCUGAUGCAGCGACGCCGCGUGGGGGAUGAAGGCCUUCGGGUUGUAAACUUCUUUUGCUCUGAACAAGGCGCACCAUGGGGUGUGUUGAGUGUAGGGGUUGAUUAGCGCCGGCUAACUACGUGCCAGCAGCCGCGGUAAUACGUAGGGCGCGAGCGUUGUCCGGAAUUAUUGGGCGUAAAGGGCUUGUAGGUGGCUGGUUGCGUCUGUCGUGAAAGCUCCUGGCUUAACUGUGGGUUUGCGGUGGGUACGGGCUGGCUUGAGUGCAGUCGGUGAGGCUGGAAUUCCUGGUGUAGCGGUGGAAUGCGCAGAUAUCAGGAGGAAUACCGGUAGCGAAGGCGGGUCUCUGGGCUGUUACUGACACUGAGGAGCGAAAGCAUGGGGAGCGAGCAGG